rnacentral:lncRNA from 1 species
UAAAUAACUUAAAAAUUAAACAUCCCAAAGGAUUUUUUUUUUUCUUCCCCCCCUCAGGCUUCUGAAUGCAUAUGAUGAACAUCAAACACUUCUAAAAGAACACUCAGAAGAACCAGAAGAAAAGAAAGCACACACAGAAGAUGUAUCAUCAGCACAGAUCAUUGAUGGGGAUUUACAGGCAAAUCAAGCUGCAUAUAAUUACAGUGCCUGGUAUCAGUACAAUUAUCAGAAUCCCUGGAAUUACGGACAGUAUUACCCUCCACCUCCAACCUGAAGGGAACACGUAAAUUUCAGAUGGCUUAUAUAAGACAAUGUGGAACUAUUUUUUUUGAAGGAUGUAAAA